ACGGGGGGGCACAAGCGGUGGAGCAUGUGGUUUAAUUUGAAGCAACGCGAAGAACCUUACCAGGCCUUGACAUGCAGAGAAAUUUCCAGAGAUGGAUUGGUGCCUUCGGGAAUUCUGACACAGGUGUUGCAUGGCUGUCUUCAGUUCGUUUCGUGAGAUGUUGGGUUAAGUCCCGUAAGGAGCGCAACCCUUGUCCUUAGUUACCAGCACGUUAAGGUGGGCACUAUAAGGAGACUGCCGGUGACAAUCCGGAGGAAGGUGGGGAUGACGUCAAGUCAUCAUGGCCCUUACGGCCUGGGCUACACACGUGCUACAAUGGUCGGUACAAAGGGUUGCCAAGCCGAGAGGUGGAGCUAAUCCCAUAAAACCGAUCGUAGUCCGGAUGGCAGUGUGCA
rnacentral:rRNA from 1 species